GUGACGAAAAAUGCUACAAAAGUGCCGGAAUUUUACCCCGCCUUGCCACCCACAGACAGCACUGCCCUAAGCUUCUGCUAUAAUCACAAUAAAACUACACGAAUUGAGCGAAUCGCUAUCACAGCAGCCUUUUUUUUUCCUCAUUGAACUGUCAAAACACAACACAACAGUUUUUGGAAAGAGAAACGAUUUUUAUUGGCUUGAUCACGCUCCCGAACUGCAGAGUAGACAGAUAGGACAGGUUAAUUUCACAUUGCCUUUUAUUGCUCCAGCUUCAACAGGCAUCAUAGUAAAUACAGGUUAAUCCCGCAUUGCCUUCCACCGCUCCACCGACAGCAGGCAUUCACAUCAAUAUUAUUAUAUACUACACAUACUUUUAACAUGAAUAUAUAUUUAGAUGUACAUUAUAAAAUUAAGUGAAUAACC